GAUGAACGCUGGCGGCGUGCCUAGUACAUGCAAGUCGAGCGAACAGACGAGGAGCUUGCUCCUCUGACGUUAGCGGCGGACGGGUGAGUAACACGUGGAUAACCUACCUAUAAGACUGGGAUAACUUCGGGAAACCGGAGCUAAUACCGGAUAAUAUAUUGAACCGCAUGGUUCAAUAGUGAAAGACGGUUUUGCUGUCACUUAUAGAUGGAUCCGCGCCGCAUUAGCUAGUUGGUAAGGUAACGGCUUACCAAGGCAACGAUGCGUAGCCGACCUGAGAGGGUGAUCGGCCACACUGGAACGGAGACACGGUCCAGACUCCUACGGGAGGCAGCAGUAGGGAAUCUUCCGCAAUGGGCGAAAGCCUGACGGAGCAACGCCGCGUGAGUGAUGAAGGUCUUCGGAUCGUAAAACUCUGUUAUUAGGGAAGAACAAAUGUGUAAGUAACUAUGCACGUCUUGACGGUACCUAAUCAGAAAGCCACGGCUAACUACGUG
rnacentral:rRNA from 1 species